rnacentral:rRNA from 1 species
GAUGAACGCUAGCUACAGGCUUAACACAUGCAAGUCGAGGGGAAACGAUAGAGAAAGCUUGCUUUUUCUAGGCGUCGACCGGCGCACGGGUGAGUAACGCGUAUCCAACCUGCCCAUCACUUGGGGAUAACCUUGCGAAAGUAAGACUAAUACCCAAUGACGUCUCUAGAAGACAUCUGAAAGAGAUUAAAGAUUUAUCGGUGAUGGAUGGGGAUGCGUCUGAUUAGCUUGUUGGCGGGGGUAACGGCCCACCAAGGCGACGAUCAGUAGGGGUUCUGAGAGGAAGGUCCCCCACAUUGGAACUGAGACACGGUCCAAACUCCUACGGGAGGCAGCAGUGAGGAAUAUUGGUCAAUGGACGAGAGUCUGAACCAGCCAAGUAGCGUGCAGGAAGACGGCCCUAUGGGUUGUAAACUGCUUUAUAAGGGAAUAAAGUGAGUCUCGUGAGACUUUUUGCAUGUACCUUAUGAAUAAGGACCGGCUAAUCCGUG